UGGGGAGCACCUCAUGUCUCAGCCCACAUCCCCUUGUUCGCUGCAGGUGGCUGGUACAAAGGGCCCAGGUUCUCCAGGCUCCGGGAAGACCGGAUGAUUUUUACUAGCUCUCUGGCAGCUUUUGCCCAUCUCUGGGGUGUCCCAGAGAAAGUUGGCCUCUACUUUCUUUGUGGGGUCUCAGGAGGCCUCAUGCUCCUGCUGUGCAUCAUCAGCCCCAAAACAACCUUCCUUCAGGAGGUGGGAGAGGCUCUCAAAGACCCAGAGCUGGGGAGCAGCUCAGAGCUGAGCAGGACCAAGCUGCGAGAUGAGCAGGAUGAAGAUCUUCCUGAUGACAGCUCCUCGGACUCCUCCUUCCGCCGCCUCACCCGCACCUACCGGGCCACUGACAGCAUCUUCAGCCCUGAGCUGACGGCAGCCAUGGAGGGAGCGGUGGAGCACCAGGGCCGUGGCGGAGAGGAGAUCUGGAUGCCUAAAGAAUCAAGUCCAUAUGCCAUCCACAAAAUCAAAUCAGCCACCAAAUAAGAACUGGAAGAAAAUGGCUGGAGAGCAGCAGGGGGCAGAGGCUAAGUGGGAUCUGACAUCAGAGAGACACGGGAGUUUGGGCUCCUUGGGGUGAGUCAGCAUCCUGAGUGGCAGCAGGGCCACGGCAGCCCCAGUGUGGCCAUCAAACCACUGCUCCACCAGCUUGGAAACCUCUAACCCGGGGGUACGAUCUGAUCCCUGGGUGUGAUGAGAGGGCUGUGGGAUGGUUCGUGGGGCCACCAGCUCCUUUGCCACAAACACGCCGCUAACCCUAAACUAACCUCCCCAUUCUUGGCUUACAUUAGCUGGCUCUAGUGCUUAACCCUGAUCAGCCAUGCUGAGCUCACCUUGAGCCUUUCUAGGCUGUUUGCUCCUGUUUCGUCUUGGGUGCUGGCUUCCACCCCUGGUACUACAAACACUCCCCAGCACUCAGGCAGCGUGCUGGUGGCAGAGAUACAGAAAUGGCCAGGGCGCAGGGAGGAUGCAGACAGAGUGGGUGGGAGAGCACCAUGAGCAUCACCCAGCACAGCCCUACCACGCCACUUGCCUUGCAGCUCUGGUAUCCCUAGGGGAGAUGCACCCCAGGGCUGGGGGAGCCAGCAGCUUGGCACUGCACUGCUCUCACCUCCCUGCCAGUAUUUGGGAGCUCUCUCACCCUGCGUUACUCUCUGCUUUCCUUCAUGCUUCCCCCACUGGCAGGAGAGCCCCGGGGUUAACUUGCUGGAGCUUUUUCCAGUAAAUAAAUGCAAC
rnacentral:lncRNA from 1 species